UGAGCCAGGAGAAGGAAUUUCACAAGAGAGAUGGGGUUUUGCCAUGUUGCCCAGCCUGGUCUGAAACUCCUGAGCUCAAGUGAUCGUCUCCUCCCACCUCAGCCUCCCAAAGUGCGGAAAUUACAGGCAAGAGCUGCACCCAGCCAUGUUUACUCUCUAAUGUGUGUUGUUUUUAUUCAAAAACUGCAGUGCUCCCUUGCCUGAAACCUUUUGCAGACUUCCCAUCACUUACCGGGUUAAGUGCAAGCUCUUUGCCUGUUGCGCCAAGCCUAUGUGGUCAGGGCUCUGUUUGCCUCUGUCUCCAGCCUUCUCUUGAGCCACUCUGGCCACUUUUCAGAGGGAUCUACAGUGGGGGAACGAAAGAAAGAAUGCUCCUCCUGAGCACCUUCUUCCAAAGUGGAGUCCUUUCAGCAGUUGUUUUCAAGAUUAAUAUGUCAACAAGACUACUGUUACAGGGAUAAUGAAAAGACCUUAGGGGAAGCAGCAUGAAAGCAAGACUGUGACCAUGCAGAGAGGGAGCCAAAGGGCAAUGCCUUCUUUAUGGGCUCCCUCCCACACUACCCAGAGACAGAGCCACCUCCUCCCAGACUGACUUCCCCAUGUUUGGACUUAGCUUUGAUGCUGCUGUAGUCAUACUGAGAACUUUAUAAACUGCCCCUAGGUCCUUGAACAAGCCCAGCUGUUUCACAUCUCUGUGACUGUACUCAUUUUCAUCCCUCAAGCUUGAAUGCCCUUACCUACCAUGGUCUGCUAGGCAAACUCUAAUCAUCUUUCAAAACUCAGCUCAUGCAACAUUGUUUUUUUCCAUGUGGAGACCACAGUGAGAUAUUCCCCACCCAGUGAUUUAGAAAUAAGAUUGCCACAAAAUAACACCAGCAAACCACAUAUAUCAUAAACGCGAUUAGCCCUCUGGAGGAGAAAACCAAGCAAUUGUGUAUAAAUAUGUAAAUAAUUUAGAAAUUCUCUAAUUUCA
rnacentral:lncRNA from 1 species